rnacentral:rRNA from 1 species
UACAGAGACUGCGAGCGUUAUUCGGACUCACUGGGCGUAAAGGGUGCGCAGGCGGCCAAGUGUGUGAGGCGUGAAAGCCCGGGGCUUAACCCCGGAAUUGCACCUCAAACUACAUGGCUAGAGCAUUGGAGAGGGUAGCAGAAUUCACGGUGUAGCAGUGAAAUGCGUAGAUAUCGUGAGGAAUACCAGAGGCGAAGGCGGCUACCUGGACAAUUGCUGACGCUCAGGCACGAAAGCGUGGGGAGCAAAAGGG